rnacentral:rRNA from 1 species
GACGGAGGGUGCUAGCGUUGUUCGGAAUUAUUGGGCGUAAAGCGUCCGUAGGUGGCUUUACAAGUCAGCUGUUAAAGCGUGGAGCUUAACUCCAUAAAGGCAGUUGAAACUGUGAGGCUAGAGUGCGGUAGGGGUAAGGGGAAUUCCCAGUGUAGCGGUGAAAUGCGUAGAUAUUGGGAAGAACACCGGUGGCGAAAGCGCCUUGCUGGACCUGCACUGACACUGAGGGACGAAAGCUAGGGGAGCGAAAGGG